AGAUGUCCGUCAAUGGGAAUCGUUAGAUUCGCCCACCACAGAAUCAUCAAUAAAUAUAUUUCAUUUGUUCAAUUGACUGAAAACAACUUAUGACACAACGGACGAGAAAACACUUCAAUUUGGAUUCUUAAUUAUUUUCUCUUAUCACAGAAAAGAAUGCGUUGCUACACUAUUCCCUGUCUACUACUUGCAGUAUUGCCUGUUAUAUUUUCAUCACAAAUUGGACCAGAAAGAGGAAGUGACGUUAGUGGUAUUUUAUAUAAGUUGUUGGCAUCAGACAUUGACCCGGAAAUAAAACGAAAACUUUUAUUGGUGGACUAUUUAGGUAAACUUUCCACACAACAUGAAACAGAAGAGGAUAUGGAACCGUUUAAUGAACUACCAAAACGAUCACAUAUGUGGUUUCGUCAUAGUUCUGGAAAUAUUCCAAUUCAAACAAGGCUGUCGUUUGGUCAGCCUCUCAGUCGGAAUGGAAUCGGUUCAAUACACAAAAUUAGAUAUGGCAGAAAAUAAAAACUAACUACCUUAACAUUUGUGAUAUACCGAGUUUAUGCAAUCUGUGUAGACACUGUUUUGUUAAAAUAAUUAUUGUGUAGUCAUCUGUGUGUUGGCGAAUAUCGGAAUGAAACUAUAGCAAAAAAGACUACCAAAAUUUGUCGCAGGCGAAUAAAACAUUGGUUUCAGUAUAUUAUUUUGAAUGUUUAUUAUUGAAAAGCGAAAAGUAUUUUAACUUCUUAUAAAAAUGUAAACUUAACAAACUAAUACAUGCAUUUUGUCACACACGUAAGUCUUUGAAAUAAAUUAUUUAAACUGGGUGUCCUAAAUUUGAAAUAUCUGGUAUAUGCACAGUUUAAAAAAAAGAUUUACAUUCCAUUAAGUUUUCCACGAACCAGUUCACUUAUACUACUGUUGCCUUUAUUUAGGAUAAGCAAAUGAAUACAUUAUAAAUGGAAAAAACCGGCUGGUUUAUAAUUCGAUUUAAUGUUAUGAAGACAUGUGAAAUAAAAAUUGUGCAUUU